CCUACGGGUGGCAGCAGUCGAGAAUCAUUCACAAUGGGGGAAACCCUGAUGGUGCGACGCCGCGUGGGGGAAUGAAGGUCUUCGGAUUGUAAACCCCUGUCAUGUGGGAGCAAAUUAAAAAGAUAGUACCACAAGAGGAAGAGACGGCUAACUCUGUGCCAGCAGCCGCGGUAAUACAGAGGUCUCAAGCGUUGUUCGGAACCACGGGGCGUAAAGGGUGCGUAGGCUGUUUCGUAAGCCGUGUGUGAAAGGCGCGGGCUCAACCCGCGGACGGAACAUGAUACUGCGAGACUAGAGUAAUGGAGGGGGAACCGGAAUUCUCGGUGUAGCAGUGAAAUGCGUAGAUAUCGAGAGGAACACUCGUGGCGAAGGCGGGUUCCUGGACAUUAACUGACGCUGAGGCACGAAGGCCAGGGGAGCGAAAGGGAUUAGAUACCCUUGUAGUC
rnacentral:rRNA from 1 species